AAUCAUUUGUCUAUUAAUUGUAGACCCGUAUGAAAGGCAAAAUGAAAGUCUAACUGUCUCUUGUAAUAGAUCAAUUAAACUGAUCUCCUAGUACAAAAGCUAGGAUACCCACAUAAGACCAGAAGACCCUGUGAAGCUUUAACUAACCCAUUAAACCAAAUAAUGACUACUUUCGGUUGGUGCGACCUUGGAAAAAAAGAAAACUUCCAAACAACAUGAUUAUACUCAUACCAAUAGGCCAACAAGCCACUAUCAGACCCAGUAUAGCUGAUAAAUGAACCAAGUUACUCCAGGGAUAACAGCGCUAUCUUCUUCAAGAGUCCAUAUCAAAWAGAAGGUUUACGACCUCGAUGUUGGAUCAGGACAUCCUGGUGGUGCAGCCGCUACCAAGGGUUCGUUUGUUCAACGACUAACGUCCUACGUGUA
rnacentral:rRNA from 1 species